GAGAUGGAGUCUGGCUCUGUCGCCGAGGCUGGAGUGCCGUGGCACGAUCUCAGCUCACUACAACCUCCGCCUCCCGGGUUCAAGAGAUUUUCCUGCCUUAGCCUCCCCAGUAACUGGGACUACAGGUGUGUGCCACUAUGCCCAGCUAAAUUUUUCUAUUUUUAGUAGAGACAAGGUUUAGCCAGGCUGGUCUUGAACUCCUGACCUCAAGUGAUCCACCUGCCUCGGCCUCCCAAAAUACUGGGAUUACAGGCGUGAGCCACUGGGCCCGGCUAGUACAGCCUUUCUUAAAGUGAACCUGACCAGGUUUCAAAUUCUUGCUCUGCUGCCAAGGUAGUAGUUGAGACUCUUGGGAAAUCUCUUCCCCUCUCUUGAGUCUCAGUUUGCUGACAUGUGAAAUGAGGCAUUUAUGAGAAUUAGAGGAGAUACCUGUAAACCUAUUAACCCCAAAUCUGAUGCAUAACAAUGGCUCAAAAUAUCAUCGGUGUUCAUGUUCCCAGAGGAAGGAACGAUUCAGUAGAGCCCAGAAAGUGAAACAGGGAUUCACAAAGCAGGGCAUGUUUAGGUUUUCUGAUUAAUGUCUGCCAACCAGUAGGCAUUAAUCAGUACUCCAGUGCCACUCCCUUGCCCUUAAUAAAGACACGCCACCUCUUAGAGCUAUGGUUGAAGCCAGAUUGUCCUCUUGUUACUACCAGGUGUAACCACCCACAAGGAGACUUCUCCCAUCUCCUGAGUAGCAACUUCCUCUGUGCAAUCCUCUCCUUAGCCCCAAACAGUCUGAAAUAAAAUGAUGCAUUUAUGUGUCUGUUUCCACAGCCAACCUAGAAGUUCUCUGGGGACAGAACCUUGGCAGACACCUGAAUUAAUUUUUCUAGUCUUCAGGCCCAGCACAUGAAUGCUUGUUGGAUGAGUUAAUGAACCUAGACCCACACCAAGGUGAGGCAGGCUUCCAGAAGGUGGAGGGAUACGGGGAAAAAAGAGAGUAGAGGGCAAUCCUGGCAUGG
rnacentral:lncRNA from 1 species